AUUGAACGCUGGCGGCAUGCUUCACACAUGCAAGUCGAACGGUAACAGGCCGCAAGGUGCUGACGAGUGGCGAACGGGUGAGUAAUGCAUCGGAACGUGCCCAGUCGUGGGGGAUAACGCAGCGAAAGCUGCGCUAAUACCGCAUACGAUCUAUGGAUGAAAGCGGGGGACCGUAAGGCCUCGCGCGAUUGGAGCGGCCGAUGUCAGAUUAGGUAGUUGGUGGGGUAAAGGCCUACCAAGCCAACGAUCUGUAGCUGGUCUGAGAGGACGACCAGCCACACUGGGACUGAGACACGGCCCAGACUCCUACGGGAGGCAGCAGUGGGGAAUUUUGGACAAUGGGCGCAAGCCUGAUCCAGCAAUGCCGCGUGCAGGAAGAAGGCCUUCGGGUUGUAAACUGCUUUUGUACGGAACGAAAAGGCUCUGGUUAAUACCUGGGGCUCAUGACGGUACCGUAAGAAUAAGCACCGGCUAACUACGUGCCAGCAGCCGCCGUAAUAC
rnacentral:rRNA from 1 species